CUGCUGCCUCCCGUAGGAGUCUGGGCCGUGUCUCAGUCCCAGUGUGGGGGGCCUUCCUCUCAGAACCCCUAGACAUCGUCGCCUUGGUGGGCCGUUACCCCGCCAACUAGCUAAUGUCACGCAUGCCCAUCCGUCUCCGGAGUCGCCUCCUUUGGCCGAAAGAAGAUGCCUCCCCUCGGCCACAUGCGGUAUUAGGCCGGAUUUCUCCGGGUUAUCCCGCUGAAACGGGCAGGUUGCAUACGCGUUACUCACCCGUGCGCCGGUCGCCGG
rnacentral:rRNA from 1 species